UCCUCCCACUCCGCGGUGGGCAGCUCAAAGCUGAACCAAACCGGCCAGGUCACAACGGUUAAGUGAUGCUGGACCAGACCGUCGACGAGUGGGAGGAGCCUAAGGCGAACCGCACCUCAUGCACUUCUGCACCUCACAUAUUAGAAGUUUGCAUAUUAGAAAAGGAAGGAGGAUAUUAAGCUACCAUGUAAAAAACACUAGAUCAAUUGCAGAUUAAAAAAUUGAUAGCAGCCCAUAUUAAUUUACAUGAAACAUGUCAUAUGAUUGCAUACUAGAAAUGACAUCAAGAAAUAUAAACAGAGGGAGUACUAGAAUGUGAAUACCUAAAAAGACAAUAUUUAGGAACGGAGGGAGUACUAGAACGUGAACAUCUAAUCCAAAGGUUAAUAGCGUAUGAUACGUGCAUGGGACAAAACAUGUGUUGUGGACGUGCUACAGCUAUGUGAAGAAGGGCAAUCCUUUCGGCAAGAAAAAAAAUCUCAAUCUAUAUAUUCGAACCCAACCACUACACAUGAUUCUGUACAAGCUUUUGCGAUGCUUCAAGCCUCAGCAUUACGUACAAAUCUGGCCAGAUCAUAUGCAAAGGCGCAAAAUAAUUUACAAAGCCAAAUUCCUGUUUGUUUAUACUAUAAGUAUGUGGUAAGCUAUCAAAAGAAAAACCAACAUAUCAAAGGAAAAAAGUAAGCAUAAUAAUUAAGUAAUAACUCAUUAUAGUAUUUGUUUGCCGUCGACAUAAACCAAGAAUACGACUGCGGUGCGAUAGGAGCUCAGCGCGACUAACCUCUAGACGCCUUAUUACAAGUUAGUUUACCUCAUCUCAUGACCUGCGAACCCUAGCAAAUGGAGCUCCGCUUUGUUAAAUGGCUUAAAUAAAUGUCCAAUUAAUUUCAGUAACUAUAAUAGUUUGGAUUUACAUGAAAGUAAUUAUAACAAAAAUACUAUAAAGUGUAUCAGGAUUUGUACCAUGUGAAGGAUAUGACCGCUAGUAGGUAUAAUCAGAGGUAGAUAACGGAAAGGUGGUAUGACUGCAUGUGUAAAAAUAAUGUCCACAAAAAUAAAAUCGAAAGCCACACCAAAAUUCAUAAUGUAAUAAGUUAUGUGCUAAACAAUGGUAUUACCUAAUACUUCAACCUCGAUAUGAGGAGAGACUGGGAGUAACCUAAGCAUUUUGAUGCAUCAAAUUUUCUCCAAAAUCCAAUAAUGUAAAUCUAAUAACUCAAAUAAGAUGGGUGGCGUAAGAAAACAUGACAUUUAGGUAUGCACGAACCAACAACAUUUGGAUAAAAUCAUUCGGUAGUAGUAUAUAACAUCUAUUUAUUUUCUAUAAAGUGCAUAUAUUACCUAUAUAUUUAUUUGUAUUAUACCGCAUCAGGUAUGACAGAUACUACAUAUAUUGUGUCAAACACAUGUGGGAGCAAAUCCAUGUUUUAAACAUCUAUAAAAAACAUAUGUUUACUGAUUUUCAGAAAAAAUCUAGCGGGUUAACCUGCUAAUUCUAUUGAUUUAAAUAGACAUUGACUAAAAACUGCACAUACCCUUUUUUCACUAUAAACAGAAGCUCCAUGUAAUCAAAAUUUGAGCACCUAUAUAUACAGUGAGCAUCUAAAAGAUUUAUCAUAUAGUAUAUGAUAGCAUGUAUGCAUGAUAAGAGAUGGAUUGAUAGAAAAAGGGACGUUCAUGCACACAAUGGAAAUCUUCUCACUGUCCAAUGGUUAUGUAUAUAAAUAGAAGAAAAACAUUAGUGCACGAUUCAGACACACAAUGGAAGUCUUGCCACUGUCCAAUAGUUAUGUAUAUAAAUAGCAGGCGAGCAGAUUUUAUUAAAUAGUCUAUCUGUUAAAAUGUUUUAAUCUGGAUUGUUAUUUAAUAUAGCUUGUUGUUGAACCGUAUUUGUUAAAAAUACCAAGUUAACUCAGCAUCCUUUACACUUAGAAUAAGUAGCACUAAUCUAAAAGAUUAUGUUCAUUAUCUGCACAGGUUUCUGUUACUUCAUGUGCAGAUCCUAAAAGUUUCCUAAUAACUGAACAUAGCCAAAUAGUAUAAAAGUUACAUUGUAGUAAAACUCAUAAAACAAUAAUCUACACAGGGAAAUUCCUUUUUGAGAGAUGCAUGGAUUGAAAACUAGAUGAUGUAACUAAGGAUCUGCAAAGAGAAAAUAAAAUAUUGGUAAGCAGAAGUACGUCCUUGUGAAUUCAUUCCACAAACUGGAUACGGUCUGGGCAACACUUUCCGUCAGUUAUCUCCACGCUCCUAUGAGGCUCGACCAUCACGUCUAGAGGUUCCUGCAGAUAGAAAGAAAGAGCGUGAGGGAGAGAAACCGAGGGGAGGGGGGGGGGAUCUGGUGACACAUAAGCUAGAUCCGGCGCCCCCGUGGAUUGGUCAACCCUGCGCGCCUCCGCCGUACUGGAUUUGGGAGGGGGGGGGAUCUGGCGACACAGAUGCUAGAUACGACGCCCCCAUGGAUUGGUCAACCCCGCGUGCCUCCGCCGUACUGGAUUUUGGAGGGAGAGAACAUGAGCUGAGGAUGUGAGGGAGGGUUGUGAGGAGGAGGAGAUGGAGUGGACGGACGCACCUGAGUCACCGGGGCCAAUCCUACCGAAACCCUAGUAACAAGAGACGGUCGCGGAUAGCAUUGGAGGACACGCGUGCUGGAUCUCCCAUGAUAGGAGGGAGUAGCAGAGUGAGGGGAUCCAUGUGGUGUGCGUGGCACCAUCGAUUCCGGCCGGUAGGUCGCGUGGAUCGAGCGUCGUUGAUGGUGGCGGCGAUGAGAAGAGUUGUUCGGGAGAGAGAUGUCGAGUUGUGGACGAGGGAGGAGGAGUGCGAGGCUGUGGGUUGGAUGAGAGGGUCAGGGGGAUGAGGGCGGUC
rnacentral:lncRNA from 1 species